rnacentral:rRNA from 1 species
CUACGGGAGGCAGCAGUGGGGAAUAUUGCACAAUGGGCGCAAGCCUGAUCCAGCAAUGCCGCGUGAGUGAUGAAGGCCUUCGGGUCGUAAAGCUCUUUUACCAGGGAUGAUAAUGACAGUACCUGGAGAAUAAGCUCCGGCUAACUCCGUGCCAGCAGCCGCGG